rnacentral:ribozyme from 1 species
AGAAGUUGACGCACCCACCAUCUUCGCAUUUCCAAGCGCACUUGC